rnacentral:rRNA from 1 species
AAUCAACGCUGGCGGCGUGCCUCAGACAUGCAAGUCGAACGAGAAAUCCCGAGCAAUCGGGAAAGUAAAGUGGCGCACGGGUGAGUAACACGUAGGUAAUCUACCUUCGGGUGGGGAAUAACCCAGGGAAACUUGGGCUAACACCGCAUAAUGCAGCGGCACCACAUGGUGACAGUUGUUAAAGCGGGGGAUUUUAGGACCUCGCGCCUGAAGAGGAGCCUGCGGCGGAUUAGCUAGNGGUAAGGUAACGGCUUACCAAGGCGACGAUCCGUAGCCGGCCUGAGAGGGGCGGUCGGCCACACUGACACUGACAUACGGGUC